UCAGGUUCGCGUCAUGUCCCUCUUGUUUAGCUUCAGUUGACGUUUGCAAUGGUUAUCAGUGCUGCACGAGCUACACGGACUUUUAUGGGACCUACCACCCCUCGCAGUUGUGUGAGGACUACUGCUGCGUGGACAUCAAUAUUACCAACUUAAAGGUCUGCUGUGACAACCCGUUACGUGAGGUUCCUUCCACGCAAAGGGACCAAGACUCUUGCACAAAGAGCUGGAUAGAGGAACACAUCUGGGUCCCGAUUGUUAGCUGCCUUUUCCUGGUCGUGAUCAUCGUGCUGUGUUGCUUGUGUUGUUGCGGUUGCUUUGCCUGCUGUAGGAGAGGAUGUACCGCACAAUACAACCAGUAUACAACCAUAUAACCAGUAAUCCGGAUGAUGCCUGGGGUGCUACUUCUCUGCAGUACGAACACGCAACCUGGAUCUGGCACAAUAUUAUUUUUAACAUAUAUUUUGUCUGGUUUUUGAAAACAAAGAGAAAUAAAUACAGUCCACUCUCGUUAUCUCGAUAUCGGAUAUCUCGAUAUUCUCGAUAUGUCGAAGUAAGCUCAAUGUCCCAACUAUUUUCCUUCUUUAUCUAUAUAAAUAAACAUCGCAUAUGUCGAUUUUCGUUAUGUCGAAUAAUUCGAUAUCUCGAUAUAAAAUUUUGUCCCGAGUCCCGAUUUUACAUGUAUUUACCGUGGUUUAUCUCGAAGUGCGAAUAACUGUUCCAGUGUCAGCAAAAGGUGAGAAUUUUUUUCUUUGAUACUUCACCGUCCCGCUUCGCCCGGCUGCUCCCGAUACUGUGCGGUAUGAAAUUGAUCCGUUAAUUGCUUCAAUAAUAACACGUGUGUAAUGUCGUUAGCCAUUAAUACUUGAGUAAUUAAUACACAUUUAGAUGUUAAAAACAAGGUAAAUUUUCGUCUCAUGUUUCUUUGGAAACGCCUAAUCGGAUAUCUCGAACUCUCGUUAUCUCGAUAUUUUUUCUUGUUCCCGCCGACUUCGAGAUAACGAGAGUGGACUGUACAUGUCAGUAAUAUAUAAUACAAGUAAUCUUUGGUGAACGCCUAAUAUGGGUAGUUGUGUAAAUAUUAUGAUUUGUUUUAUAUCCGUUGAACAUAUUGGACAUAUACAAUUACUUUAUUUUGUAUUGUUUUGAUAAACUGCUUUUUCAUAGCUGUUCUUUUGAAAUAUAAAACAAUAUCACCCAAUAAAAUUAGCCUUGCUCUGGAAAAAAGUA